rnacentral:misc_RNA from 1 species
UUGAUUAAGGCUAUUAAUUCUAAGUUCAGCCUCAGAAAAUUCAUUGUUCUUGGAAAUGCUGUUAUCUAGAUUAGCAGAGACGCAUCCAAGAUGAUCAACAACAGCAACUACAGCUCUGCAUAUGUAAUCUUUUGUGCUUUCCACAACCAUUCUUUUCUCUUUGGCAUUCAAGAAUGUUGCUUCACAGUAAUCUGCUGCAUAAUGCAGCUGCGAACGCAAGUCUCUAAGUUC